GACGAACGCUGGCGGCGUGCUUAACACAUGCAAGUCGAACGGAGAGGCCCUGCUUUUGUGGGGUGCUCGAGUGGCGAACGGGUGAGUAACACGUGAGUAACCUGCCCUUGACUUUGGGAUAACUUCAGGAAACUGGGGCUAAUACCGGAUAGGAGCUCCUGCUGCAUGGUGGGGGUUGGAAAGUUUCGGCGGUUGGGGAUGGACUCGCGGCUUAUCAGCUUGUUGGUGGGGUAGUGGCUUACCAAGGCUUUGACGGGUAGCCGGCCUGAGAGGGUGACCGGCCACAUUGGGACUGAGAUACGGCCCAGACUCCUACGGGAGGCAGCAGUGGGGAAUAUUGCACAAUGGGCGGAAGCCUGAUGCAGCAACGCCGCGUGUGGGAUGACGGCCUUCGGGUUGUAAACCGCUUUCGCCUGUGACGAAGCGUGAGUGACGGUAAUGGGUAAAGAAGCACCGGCUAACUACGUGCCAGCCGCCGCUGUAA
rnacentral:rRNA from 1 species